rnacentral:lncRNA from 1 species
GUCUCCGCGGAGCGUCACAAAGGUUGGAAGGGUCGCGGGGCCUCUGGGUGCCGAGCUGCAGAUGCCUCCACUGCGAGCACAGCCCUGAGACAAGGGCCCAGGCGCCCAGCGGGGCUGGUUUCACUCAGUCCAGCCGCACCUACCCGUGCCCUCACCAGAUCUUAAGAUACAGACAUUAAAACCUCCACCGGGCCGCGGCACAGGACAGCAGUUUUACUUUCUGUUUUUGGCAUUGCAUUGCCUCCAUUUCCUAGAGUGCACGUAAUAAAUACCGCUGGUGAUUCCAAAAUAUAAAGGUUGAAAAUAUUUACUUUACAAAAAUUUGGUUCCCAUACUGCUUUUAAGGCCAUCCUCUGCACUUGGUUCCCGCUGCUCCUGAUGUGGUUGAAAGAUGGAUGACCCCAAAGACGAGGAAAAGAUUAUUGGCUCCAUUUUUUAGAUGCGGCAGCCAGCUAAGCUGCCUGGCUGCCUGGAGGAACAAAGGAGGGCCGGGCAAGAACGCCAUUACCAACUGCAAAUCCACAGGCAAAUGCAAGAGGACAGAAAGUAAGUUCUUGGGCUCUGCCCUUGUGCCGUACCCGGAGGGGUUC